CCUUUCUGCAGUGUGGAGGAGCGCUGGGCAGGAGGCGGCACCAAGUUUGGUGGCAGCAGUGGGAUCCAAAGGAGACAUCUGAUGGCUUAGGGGAUGAGAAACACAGGCAUUGGUACCCGCAAAACUUUUGAGUUCUCCAUCCUUUUUGCUGUUUCUGAGGGCCGUGGAGAGAUAGAAAGUGGAACAGUGUUUGCCAGGAUCU